rnacentral:rRNA from 1 species
CGGUAAUACGGAGGGUGCGAGCGUUAAUCGGAAUUACUGGGCGUAAAGACGCAUGCAGGUGGUUUGUUAAGUCAGAUGUGAAAGACCCGGGGCGUCAACCUCGGAAUAGCAUUUGAAACUAGGCAGACUAGAGUACUGUAGAGGGGGGUAGGAAUUUCAGGUGUAGCGGUGAAAAUGCGUAGAGAUCUGAAGGAAUACCGGUGGCGAAGGCGGCCCCCUCGGACAGAUACUGACACUCAGAUGCGAAAGCGUGGGGAGCAAACAGGAUUAGAUACCCCUGGUAG